CAAAAUGGCUCAAAGUAAGGCACAAAACUAGUAUAACAGGAGUCCAUAACCUCAAAAUUACAUAUACUCUUACACUUUUCCAAAUAUCUCAGACAUCAAAUACUAAAACUUAGCAAACUAUUUUCUGGAAACGGAAAAACAAGAUCGUACUGAAGACAGCUUCUAAUCGAACAAACUGAAUCAAACAUACUAAAAAAUUCUUCAAUUUAAAAGAAAAUCAGAGUUUCAAAGUAAGAGAAGCUUUAAGUUGCAAAUAAAAAAUAAGUUUUGAAGUAAGAAAAGCACUAACCAGAGAUUGAGGAAGAAUGAUUCUCUAUUUUGAAGAGAGAAGUGAUGGAGGCGGACUGAUGGAGCCUGGAGGAGAUCUUUGAUUUGGUUCUCUAUUUUAAAGUGAGAGGUGAUGGAGCCAGACUGGUGGAGCCUGAAGCAGAUAUUUGAUUUUUUAUUGAGGAAUAAUGAAGAAGUGAAGAAGAAGAAGAUAUGGGGAAGCAGAGGCGUAAAUUGAAAUUGGGGAACUAGGGCACUAAC
rnacentral:lncRNA from 1 species